rnacentral:rRNA from 1 species
AUGUACCCUGGGUACCCCAACAUAUCCGAGGAGAGCAUAUAUGGCAUGGAUCACCCGGCUCCGAUGACCUCCGAAAAGCUGGAGAAGCUGGGGUGGAGCCACCGGCCGCUGAGGGACACGAUCGCAGACACCGUCGAGUUCUGCCGGGAGGCCGGGUUUCUUGAGGGCGUGGAUGGUGGUGACGCGCCCUGCCGCUUCCCCCCUCUUUUCAACAAAAUCUAG